rnacentral:lncRNA from 1 species
GAAAUUGUUGCAUUCAUUCAUAGUUGGAAAUGUGAAAUGACUUAUAUGCUAUUUAACAUUGCAUUAAUUCUAUUUGUAUAAUGGCAUUUAUGGUAAUUCAAUUAUAAUAAAAUAUGGCUACAAAGUUUUUUGUCAACAGUCGCGGCAUAUUUAGGAGUCAACAUAUGCGGCUCCUCCCAUGCACUGUGCAAUGGUCUGAAAAGCAAAAAAAUUGGGAAGAAAAGUACAACCAGGCACGAGUGGAGUAUGGGAUCACAUGUUAACAUUUCAAUGUUUUUCAUACACGGAGUUGAGGCAUUCAAUCCAGCUGGAGGUUAGAUACAAACUUUAUUCAAACUUCAAUCAUUAGAGCAAUGACUUCUCUUAGGGUUUUAGCUUUGCUAGUGUGGACUCAAUGGCACCCUUACCAAGUAGGUAAACUUCUCACCUCUCAAUCUCUUUAUUCAUAUGUCCACGAGGAACAUGACAUCUCUCCGUGUGUUGUGUGUCUACAAUUAUUUCUAUUUUCAGAUUUGGAUUUCACCGUUUUUCUUCUAUUAAUUCAACUUUUGCUUUACAAAGAAAUAAAGAAAGUGUGAUAAAUGCCAAGUAAUCAUGCUUUUCAUGUUUAUUUCUAGAAGCGCGCGCACAUAUACUAGAGAUUUUGAAUAAGAAAGUGCUACAAAUUUUACAACUUUGAGAAAAAGUCUAUAGUUAAAAAUGAAACACCUAACAUGGCGACUCCAAUUUUAGCACUAUAAAUUGGAGAUUUUGAAACCUUGUUUAUACAUAAAAAAAAAAAAAAAAGUAAGACUUGGUGGCUUAGUAAUUAAGAAAGAUGGGAAUUAAGUUACUGGUAAUGUUAGUGAUGAUGGUGCUUUCAUUACUAAAUGGAUGGUAUUGUUUAGGGUGUUGGGAGGAAGAGAGGGUUGGUCGUCUGAACCUCAAAGCAAAUAUAAACUUCCCAGAUGGAGUAUCGCUGCCUUCAUGGAUGGAUAAUGAGAUCCCAACUGGUUGUUGUCAAUGGCAACAAGUUGAAUGUAACAACACCAGUGCGCGAGUAAUCCAACUUAUUCUUGAAUUCAUUAGGGAGUGGAAAUUAGGAGAUUGAUAUUUUAAUGCCUCUCUAUUUCAUCCUUUUUGAAGAGCUCAGAAAUCUCUCUUUAAAGAGUAAUAAUUUAGUAGGACGGAUUGAGAAUCAAGGUAUGCUAUCAUCUCUUCUUAAUUAGGCAGCCAACUGAUUCAAUUUUAUCAUUCCUAUUUUCUUUAGUUUUAUAAAUUUUUUUCUUUGAGUGAUAAUAUAUAUAUAUUGCCACUUAAAGAAAAAACUUAUAAAACUAAGGAAAAUAGGAAUAAUAAAAUUGAAUCAGUUGACUGCCUAAUUAAAAAGAGAUGAUAGUGUACCUUCAUUCUCAGUCCAUCCUACUAAAUUAUUCCCCCUUCAAGAGAGAUUUCUGAGCUCUUCAAAUGGAAGAAAUAGAGAGGCAUUAAAAUACCAAUCUCCUAAUUUUUACUCCCUAUGAAUUCAAGAUUAAGUUGGAUUACUAGCGCAAUGGUGUUGCUGCAUUCAACUCCUUGCCAUUGACAACAGUCAGUUGUAGUCUCAUUAUCCAUCCACGAAGGCAGCGAUGCUCCAUCUGGAAAAUUCAUAUUUGCUUUGAGGUUUAGAAGAGCAACCCUUUCUUCUUCCCAACACCCUAAACAAUACCAUCCGUUUAGAAAUGAAAGCGCAAUCAUCACUAACAUUACCAGUAACUUAAUUCCCAUCUUUCUUAACUACUAAGUCACUAAGUCUUACUUUUUUAUGUAUAAACAAGGUUGCAAAAUCUCCAAUUUAUAGUUCUAAAAGUGGAGUUGCCAUGUUAGGUGUUUAAUUUUUAAUCAUAGACUUUUUCUCAAAGUUGUAAAAUUCGUAGCACCUUCUCAUUGUCUAAUGGAUUAAUUGAAAUUUGCCCAUCUUUAUUAACUCUCAACACACUAAAUGAACAGAACUGUUUCUUUUUUUUUUCUUUUUUCUUGGGGGGGGGGUGGGGGGGGGGGGAUUGGAACAAAAUGUUCUUAUCAUUUGCUUGUUUUGUCGAAGUUGGCCUUAUUGUUUUAAUUUUCGCAAUGAAGUCCCUGAAAUCUAUCAAAUCUUGUGCAAAUUUAUCAAACAAUUAACAUCCCUUUUUCUUCAAGACAACUUUUUCUUUUUUCUGCUUUCGUAAUAGUAUCACUGACAAAUAACAAUAAACUGAAUAAUAUGUUACACCUUUUUGACAAAAUGUGAUUCAAAAUAUAUGCAAAAAAUGUUAAGAAAAUCUCUCUCUCUCUCUCUCUCUCUCACACACACACAGAGGUAGGUGUGUUUUGAUUUGUUAAGAAAACAAAUAAAAAUAAUAAUUUAUCUCUUUACUGAAAAAUCUAAAAUAAUUUAUGAUAUAUUUGAAAAUUCCAAGUGGAUGAAUAAGAAUCUUGAAAAAGUUUUUCGUUUGUCUAUAAUGAUAGACAAACCCAUCUAUAUUAUAGAAAAUAUUCUAUCGAAUUCGAACAUGAACUUUAUUUACAUUAGGAUUCACUAUUUUUAUAUUAUCGAUGCUUCGUAAUUUUAUUUCAGUAUAUCAAUUUAUAUAUGUAUGUGUGUGCAAGCUCGCACGCUUUUCUACAAAUAAACACGGGAAGCAUGAUCACUUGGUAUUUAUCACACUUUCUUUUUGUCUUUAUAAAGCAAAAGUUGAAUUGAAAUAGAAGAAAAACAGUGAAAUUCAAAUCUGAAAUUAGAUAUAAUUGUAGUCACGCAAACACAAACACAAACACGGAGAGUCAUGUUCCUCGUGGACAUAUGAAUAAUGAGAUUGAGAGGAGAGAAGUUUACCUCCUUGGAAAGAGUUCCAUUGAGUCCACACUAGCAAAGAUUAAACCUUCAUAGAAGUCAUUACCCUAAUGAUUGAAGUUUGAAUAAAGUUUGCAUCCAACCUCCAGUUGGUUUAAAUGCCUCAACUCUGUGCAUGAAAAACAUUGAUAUGUUAGAAUGUGAUUCUCUGUCUAGUCGUGUUCUUCUUCCCAUUGUUGUUGCUUUUUAGACAGUUGCACAGUGCAGGGAGAAGCCACAUUUGUUGACUCCUAAACAUCAACCGUAAUUGUUGACAAAAAAAACCCUGCAGCCAUAUUUUAUUAUAAUUGAAUUACCAUAGACGCCAUUCCACAAAUAGAAUUAAUGCAAUGUUAAACGGCACAUAAGUCAUUCCACAUUUCAACUAUGAAUGAAUGCGACAAUUGUGGCUAAUAUUUCAUUGGUCAACAUCUGUGAUUCUCCCAAUGCAGUGUAUAAUGGUCUGAAAAGCGAUAUACAGGAACAGGGACGGAUCCAAGAUUGGAUCCACGAUCGGGCUACAAAAUUUCAAGCCGGGCUACUACGUGGAAAAAAAAAUUUUUACACAUAAAAAACUGAUUUUUUACCCCAAAAAAAUAAAAAAUACCUUAAAAAAAAAUUCUUGGACCUGGGGGGGGGCUACAGCCCAACCCAACCCCCCCAUAUCCGUCUCUGUAUAGGAGAAGAGAAGUGCGACCAAACAGAUUAACAUGUCUAAUUGUAAUCAAUACAAUAAGUGUCAUAUAUCAUAAACGGUCUCGAUUGUUGUUUAUUGUUUAAGAAAAUUAUCGAGAUAUUAACUGUUAGGAAUUUUGCGUUCUUUUGUGUAGUUGUGUGAAAGUGGCCAAUCAAUCAAACAAAAAAUAGUAAAGAACACCAAAUCUUGGUCACCAAGUUCGGCCAAAUGCCUAAUCUGGGGGGCUCAGAGGCAAGCCCGUUCACUAUGUGCAAAGUAACCCUUCAAGAGACAGUGAAAACAAUGAAAAAACCACAGACAUCGGGUUUGAUCAUUGAUCCAAAGGAUCUCACACAAAUCAACCCUUAAUCAACCAAAGCACAAACACUCAAACUGCCGACCAAAACCAGACACAACAAAUGGCCAAAACAACCGGCCAAAGUUACUGUAGCAGGAAGGCUUUCACAUCACACUUCUAAAUAUACAAUGAUUCUAUGAAAAACCACAAGAAUCAAAAACCCAAAAGAAGAAGGAGAUGAAGUUUUCUCGAAGAGAACUCAAAGCCCAGAGAGAGAAAAAUUUUGAAGUCAAAAACGUGUAUCACUGAAAAGCCAAUGGACCAUCCCUUGAUAAACACAAUUGAAAAAUCAGAUUGCAUUUCAAC